rnacentral:rRNA from 1 species
UUAAAUUUAAAGGGGGUUUUUUUAGGAAUUUGAUUAUACAAAAAAUUAAAUUGAUUUGGCGGUUUUUUAAACUUUUUAGAGGAACCUGUUUAUUAAAUUGAUAAACCACGAUUUUACGUAUCUAGAUUUUCUUGUAUAUCUCUAUAAUGAGUAUACUUUAAGGUUAAUUUUCUAUAUUUUUAAUAAAAAUUAAUUUAGGUCAAGGUGCAGUUAUAUUUAGAUUAAAAUGGGUUACAGAAAUUAAGGUUUGUGGGGGCAUAACUUAAAUACUGUAACGAAAUUGGAUUUAAAAGUAAAAUGAAUUAUUAAUUUAUUUGAAUUAUGCUCUAAAUUAUGU